rnacentral:rRNA from 1 species
UGAGGAACACGUGAAGAAUCUGCCCUCCACUUUGGGAUAACACCGGGAAACCGGUGCUAAUACCGAAUAUUGAAACAUAAGUGGCAUCACUGAGUUUUGAAAGAAUUUCGGUGGAGGAUGACUUCGCGGCCUAUCAGCUAGUUGGUGAGGUAAUGGCUCACCAAGGCAACGACGGGUAGCCGGCCUGAGAGGGCGACCGGCCACACUGGGACUGAGACACGGCCCAGACUCCUACGGGAGGCAGCAGUGGGGAAUAUUGGGCAAUGGAGGAAACUCUGACCCAGCGACGCCGCGUGCGGGAUGAAGGCCUUCGGGUUGUAAACCGCUUUCAGUAGGGAAGAAGCGAAAGUGACGGUACCUACAAAAGAAGCACCGGCUAACUAUGUGCCAGCAGCCGCGGUAAUACAUAGGGUGCAAGCGUUGUCCGGAAUUAUUGGGCGUAAAGAGCUCGUAGGUCGUUUGUUACGUCGGAUGUGAAAACCUGAGGCUCAACCUCAGGCCUGCAUUCGAUACGGGCAAACUAGAGUUUGGUAGGGGAGACUGGAAUUCCUGGUGUAGCGGUGGAAUGCGCAGAUAUCAGGAGGAACACCAAUGGCGAAGGCAGGU